GUGGCGGCGGGCCCAGGCCCGCGUUAACGGCUGUUAGCCUCAUCUGCUCCUCGACGGGGAACCAGCCCCGCCCGCGCCGUGCUGAAGCUGACGCUGAGUGCCGGCGUCCGGCCACCCCGCGGCACAGGCUGCCAGGGGCCUGACCCUGCAGUUGGCUGCAGUCUUGGCAUUUGUCGUUUAACUCGUUGCUACGUCAUUAUUCGGAUCUCAAAAUGUGAUAAACUGCAGCAAGCAUGCGCACACAUAUGGACCCAAACAUCAGCCCAGAAAGGGAAAUUCAGUCUCUACAAGGAGAGGAACCUCCUCAACCCAUACAGCUGUGAGAGCAUGAGUUCAAGUUCAAGCACAGUUGCCAAGAGCAUGGUGCCUGUAGCCACUGUGAAGCGCUCAUUGGAAAUCCCUCAUCAAUUGUUUUUACCACUGAAUGCAAAUAAAAAAGUGAGAUAUGAUUGCGA